UACGUAGGGGGCAAGCGUUGUCCGGAUUUAUUGGGCGUAAAGAGCGUGUAGGCGGCUAGGUAGGUCCGUUGUGAAAACUCGAGGCUCAACCUCGAGACGUCGAUGGAAACCAUCUAGCUAGAGUCCGGAAGAGGAGAGUGGAAUUCCUGGUGUAGCGGUGAAAUGCGCAGAUAUCAGGAAGAACACCUAUGGCGAAAGCAGCUCUCUGGGACGGUACUGACGCUGAGACGCGAAAGCGUGGGGAGCGAACAGG
rnacentral:rRNA from 1 species